GGAGGAAAAGAAACUAACAAGGAUUCCCUUAGUAACUGCGAGUGAAAUGGGAAAAGCUCAAAUUUAAAAUCUGAUGGUCUUUUUGGCUGUCCGAGUUGUAAUCUAGAGAAGUGCUACCUGCGCUGGACCAUGUACAAGUCUCCUGGAAUGGAGCAUCAUAGAGGGUGAGAAUCCCGUCUUUGACAUGGACUUACCAGGGCUUUGUGGUGUGCUCUCAAAGAGUCGAGUUGUUUGGGAAUGCAGCUCAAAAUGGGUGGUAAAUGCCAUCUAAAGCUAAAUAUUGGCGAGAGACCGAUAGUGAACAAGUACCGUGAGGGAAAGAUGAAAAGAACUUUGGAAAGAGAGUUAAACAGUACGUGAAAUUGCUGAAAGGGAAACGCUUGAAGUCAGUCGCAUUGGCUGGAAAUCAACCACUGCUUUUGCUUGGUGUACUUUCUGGCUGAUGGGUCAGCAUCAAUUUUGAUCGUUGGAUAAAGGCUUUGGGAAUGUGGCAUCUUAGGAUGUGUUAUAGCCCUUGGUCACAUACAGCGGUUGAGAUUGAGGAACUCAGCACGCCGCAAGGCUCGGGUUUUACCACGUUGUGUGCUUAGGAUGCUGGCAUAAUGGCUUUAAUCGACCCGUCUUGAAACACGGACCAAGGAGUCUAACAUGCAUGCGAGUGUUUGGGUGGAAAACCCAUGCGCGCAAUGAAAGUGAAAAGUUAAGAUCCCUGUCAUGGGGAGCAUUGACGCUCGGACCAGACCUUUUGUGACGGAUCCGCGGUAGAGCAUGUAUGUUGGGACCCGAAAGAUGGUGAACUAUGCCUGAAUAGGGUGAAGCCAGAGGAAACUCUGGUGGAGGCUCGUAGCGAUUCUGACGUGCAAAUCGAUCGUCAAAUUUGGGUAUAGGGGCGAAAGACUAAUCGAACCAUCUAGUAGCUGG
rnacentral:rRNA from 1 species